rnacentral:lncRNA from 1 species
AAAAAACUAUUCUCUGUUUCAAUAUUUCAACUCGUAACACUUGAAAAACCAAUUUGAAACAAAAUCAUCAAAGAGAAAAACAAUCUUUCUCACUUCUUGAUCAAACACAAAUCAUAAAAAUGGAAAAUUUAUUUCGUCUAGCUGAUCACCAAGACUUUCUCUCACGCCGUUGCAUUUGGGUCAAUGGACCUGUGAUCAUAGGUGCAGGUCCAUCUGGUCUUGCAACGGCAGCAUGUCUUAG